rnacentral:other from 1 species
ACCCUGCUGUGCACGUGCGGCUUCAUAUUUUGAACCGAUACCUUUAUUGAGGGAGUUCAGAACUGUGAAUGGAAUCUAUGCCUCUUCACGGGGACAGAUGAAGUUCAUCAUGAGAGCACCCACCUGCAAAUACGCAGACUCAAAAUCCGGCUUUAACGACAUGGUGGGGAU